rnacentral:misc_RNA from 1 species
GGAAGGAUCAUCAACAAUCUUUUGACGGCAACUGCUCGACGCAGUUGAGCAGCUGGGAGGGUGAGGAUGGCCAAGAGAGUGGCCACCCACGGUCAAGCUCGGCAUUGGCAUCAGCCGGCUGUCCAACUGCGGCAAGCAGUUGCUGGCUAAAAAAGGGCGGCCGGGGAGGGUCACGAGAGUGGCAGGAACCGGGAUGCACACAUUUAGACGGGAGAGUGAUUGUAUUUUAAUUUAAUGCAUUGUGAUGGUGAGAUGAGUGUGUAUGUUUGUAUUUGUAUGGAGACAUAUGACAUGACAUGACAUGUACCCAUCAUCGCCAGGACAUUGAAUAAGCAAAAAACUUUGAACAAUGGAUCUCUGGGCUCCUGCAUCGAUGAAGAACGUGGUGAAAUGCGAAAAGCGAUGCGAACAGCAAGCACUGCGAGACAUGAGGUCUUUGAACGCAAAUGGCACCGUAGGACGACUGCGGUAUGUGCGACUGAAAACGACAAAGCAACUCGCCACUGGAGAGUGGAGGACAUGGGGUGGAGAGACAAUACUUUUUGUUUCACCAGCCUUGAAAUACUUGAUGGCAACUGGUGUAGAAAUGGAGCGGUGCGGGUGAUAUGAUGCGAGUCACAAUCCCAGCAGUUCCAAGUGAGCAGCAGCUAAAAUCAAUAGAAAUGCAUGGUGACAGCUUGACUGACGUGGAAGGGGGCAGGACUAGCAAUCCCAGCUGUCCAACUGCGUCAAGCAGUUGCUGGCUAAAGAGCUGGCUAAAAAGCUAGUCCAACUGCGUCAAGCAGUUGCCGUCAAAAACCGUUUCAGAUUGGGCAAGAUUACCCGCCGAACUUAAGCAUAUCAGUAAGCGGAGGAAAAGAAACUAACAAGGAUUCCCCCAGUAGCGGCGAGCGAACAGGACGAGCCCAGGUUUGGAAUCGAACAAUGUAAAAGUUGGACGAAUUGUAGUCUGGACAGCGGCGACGAGCGUGCGGGGGCGGGGCAUUGAGCGUUCUGGAAGGGACGGCCGAAGAGGGUGAGAGCCCCGUGGAAUGCUUGGCUGGGCACGUGGAGCGCGGGCUGGAAGAGUCGGGUUGCUUGGGAAUGCAGUCCAAAGGGGGUGGUAAACUCCAUCCAAGGCUAAAUACGGGCAGGAGACCGAUAGCGAACAAGUACCGUGAGGGAAAGAUGAAAAGCACCCUGGAAAGGGAGUGAAAAGUGCGUGAAAUUGUUGAAAGGGAAACGUUGACCUUUGCCCAUACCUUCAUUAACUGGCAACAGGAGGACGUGGUUGAGACAACUACCCAGCUGUCCAACUGCGUCAAGCAGUUGCCGGGAACGGAGGUAGGCUCGGGACCGCUUUCGCCAGGCUGACGGGGUGUCGGUAGGUGAUUGAGUAGCAAUGCUCAAGGACCACGGACGACGGAGCAAGGGGAGAGGUGGUAGACAGGGGGAGAAGGAGGUUGAGAGGUAGUUUCUAUCAAGUGCAGACUGCAAGCAGAUUGUACAAGACAGAGGCAACCAGUAACAACCUCCCUCCACCAUAAAGAAUGUCAGCCCCGAGAAGGAGCGAAACGACCCGUCUUGAAACACGGACCAAGGAGUCUAACGGAGAUGCGAGUGUUAGGGUGGCAAACCCGAACGCGGAAAGAAAGUGAGGCGCGGGAACACGUCCAAAGUGUGCACCGCGGGCCCAGCACCGGUAAAGGUGGCAGGAGCUGUAGCAUGGACGUUGGGACCCGAAAGACGGUGAACUAUGCCUGGACAGGAUGAAGCCAGAGGAAACUCUGGUGGAGGUCCGCCUCCGUUCUGACGUGCAAAUCGAUGGCUGGAUCUGGGCAUAGGGGCGAAAGACUAAUCGAACCGUCUGGUAGCUGGUUCCCUC